ACCAGCCCUGUUGCUACAGGAGCUGCCCACAUGCGCGCUUCCUCUCAGCUCUCUCAGACCCGACGAUAAAGCGGUCAGAUCGGAGGUAAUGUCUGCGUGGCUUUUCUACGACGGUGACAACUGAGGAACACCAAGUUGCUGAAGUUACACCGUGGUCGCUUCAUUUCUGCUGGACAGCUGGAUCCUUCAAAAACCUCGACACGCUGAGAGAAAGCAGAUGAGGAAUUGGAAGAAGAAGAAGGGGGAGUGAGCAGGAGCGCCCCCGCUGGUAGUUG